AUUGAUAAGAAUUUGAAGAGUUGCAUGGGGGCGGCGCCCUCAAGCAAAUCCUCUUUGUAUAGGUGAUGAGGAAAUUGGGAGAACUUAUAUUUCUCUUUUCCAACUCACUGCUUUAUGAAUAGUUGAUUAUAUAUACAUGAUAUGAAUAGGGG